rnacentral:lncRNA from 10 species
CAAGACAGUUAUGAUGUUGAGAGGAUAAGGAGGUGUCGGCAGGGAGAGGCAUGGCCUCACUCACUGCUUCACGAGUGAAAGACCGUGUCUGGAUUAAGGAGGGGAGGUAAUUCCUGAGUGGCUCAGAGUCUGUUAAGGGUGGAGGCUCUAAGACAAAAGUUCGGCCAUACAUGAUCUCAAAGGGACUAUAAAAAAAGGCUGCCUUUGGUGUUGCCAGAGUCUCAUGAGGGCGAAAGGGAGACUUCUCGUACACGACUGGCAGAUUUCUAGAGUGAGCUUGGUGAGUUGGGCUUUAAGGACAGAGUUGACCUUUUCAACUUAGCCUGAAGAUUGAGGCCGGUAGGGUGUGUGGAGAACCCAUUUUAUUCCCAAGGAUGUAGAGGCGCCUUGGGUGAUUUGGCUGAUAAAGGCAGGCCCGUUAUCGGACCGGAUGGAUGUUGGGAGUCUGAAACAGGGAAUUAUAUGCAUGUUGAGAGUUUGUGUGAUGAUAUUUGCACCUUCUGAAGUUGUUGGGAAUGCUUCUACCCACCUGGAGAAAGUACAGACAAAGACUAGAAGAUAGUGGAGCCAUUUAUGGGGCAGCAUGUGAAUAAGUCUACCUACCAAUCCUGCCCGGGUACCUUGCCCUGGGCUUGGUGGGUAGGAAAAGGCAGUGGCCAGAGGGAACCCUGGGGUGACAUUGAGUGGCAGAAAGGUUGGGUAAUAGGCUGUGCAGGGUUUAAAGGCUCAUGGAGAGGGCCUUUAGCAGCUUGGUAUAACAGUUUGGCUAGUAGAGCGAAGGAGGGAACCCAGAGCCUGAAAUAUCCCGCUAGUCCUAGAAAAGAGAGAAUUUCUUGCUUAGUUUGCGGAGGCGGGAGGGACUGGAAGAGGGAUAUGUGGUCUGUUAUGAGCCCUUGGGUUCAUGGGGUAAGAGCUAGGCCUAGAUAGAUGACUGAGGGGGUGCAUGUUUGCGCUUUUUUAGGGGAUACCUGAUACCCCCACUCUGCCAGAAGUUUAAAAGAGAGAUAGUAUGGGCAUUGCAGUCUUUUUGAGAGGGGCUACCCAGGAGCAGAUCAUCAAGGAGAGUGGACGGUUUUAGGGAUAAGGUACAGAGGUCAUGAUCAAGGGCCUGUCCAAAAAGGUGGGUGCUGUCUCUAAAACCUUGAGGUAGUAGGCACCAGUGAGCUGAUGUGAAAGGCGGGUGCUGUCUCUAAAACCUUGAGGUAGUAGGCACCAGUGAGCUGAUGUGAAAGGUGGGUGUUGGGGUCUUCCCACAUAACAACAAAGAGGUCUUGAGAAUCAGGGUGCAAAUGAACUGUGGAAAAAAGCAUCCUUUAGGUCUAGGACAGAAAAAUGGGUGGUAUUGGAGGGAAUUUUGGAAAGUAAAGUGUAUGGGUUAGGGACUACUGGACAUACUGGGAGUACAGUUUGGUUAAUGAGCCUGAAGUCCUGGACUAAGUGGUAAGUUCCAUCUGGCUUUUUAACAGGUAGAAUUGGUGUGUUUAAAAGGGAGUUUGUUGGGCGGAGGAGGUGACUGGCGAGGAGGCGAGAAAUGAUAAGCUAUAGGCCUACAAGAGCUGCUUAGGGGAUUGGAUACUGCUUCUGUGAUAGGAACUGGGUGGGGAUUUUAAGGGUAAUGCAGAAGGGGGUGUGGUGUUUUGCAACUGAGGGUGUGGAAGUAUCUCAAAACAGCGGGGUUAACCAUGGAUGGGGGAUAAGGAAAGGUUGCAUGUUUUAGGGUGGGAGGUUGCAGGAGUAGAAGAAAGUUAGAAGCCCUGGAGGGGUCUGGGUGGAUGCGUUGGGUACUAGGGGAACGUGGGAGUGGAGAGUGGUGUGGAGUUUUGAAAGCAUGGCUCUGCCUAGGAGUGGAGUUGGGCAUGAGGGCAGGACUAAGAGUGAGUGAAGGAAGGCCGGGCGCGGUGGCUCAAGCCUGUAAUCCCAG